rnacentral:rRNA from 1 species
UACGUAGGGUGCGAGCGUUGUCCGGAAUUACUGGGCGUAAAGAGCUCGUAGGUGGUUUGUCGCGUUGUUCGUGAAAACUCACAGCUUAACUGUGGGCGUGCGGGCGAUACGGGCAGACUAGAGUGAUGUAGGGGAGACUGGAAUUCCUGGUGUAGCGGUGAAAUGCGCAGAUAUCAGGAGGAACACCGAUGGCGAAGGCAGGUCUCUGAGCAUUAACUGACGCUGAGGAGCGAAAGCAUGGGGAGCGAACAGG